AUGCGGGGAUCUAAUACAUGCAGUCGUGCGGACCUUUUAAAAGCUUGCUUUUAAAAGGUUAGCGGCGGACGGGUGAGUAACACGUGGGCAACCUGCCUGUAAGAUCGGGAUAACGCCGGGAAACCGGGGCUAAUACCGGAUAGUUUUUUCCUCCGCAUGGAGGAAAAAGGAAAGACGGCUUUUGCUGUCACUUACAGAUGGGCCCGCGGCGCAUUAGCUAGUUGGUGGGGUAACGGCUCACCAAGGCAACGAUGCGUAGCCGACCUGAGAGGGUGAUCGGCCACAUUGGGACUGAGACACGGCCCAAACUCCUACGGGAGGCAGCAGUAGGGAAUCUUCCGCAAUGGACGAAAGUCUGACGGAGCAACGCCGCGUGAGUGAAGAAGGCCUUCGGGUCGUAAAACUCUGUUGCCGGGGAAGAACAAGUGCCGUUCGAACAGGGCGGCGCCUUGACGGUACCCGGCCAGAAAGCCACGGCUAACUACGUGCCAGCAGCCGCGGUAAUACGUAGGUGGCAAGCGUUGUCCGGAAUUAUUGGGCGUAAAGCGCGCGCAGGCGGCUUCUUAAGUCUGAUGUGAAAUCUUGCGGCUCAACCGCAAGCGGUCAUUGGAAACUGGGAGGCUUGAGUGCAGAAGAGGAGAGUGGAAUUCCACGUGUAGCGGUGAAAUGCGUAGAGAUGUGGAGGAACACCAGUGGCGAAGGCGGCUCUCUGGUCUGUAACUGACGCUGAGGCGCGAAAGCGUGGGGAGCAAACAGGAUUAGAUACCCUGGUAGUCCACGCCGUAAACGAUGAGUGCUAAGUGUUAGAGGGUUUCCGCCCUUUAGUGCUGCAGCUAACGCAUUAAGCACUCCGCCUGGGGAGUACGGCCGCAAGGCUGAAACUCAAAGGAAAUUGACGGGGGGCCCGCACAAGCGGGUGGAGCAUGUGGUUUAAUUUCGAAAGCAACGCGAAGAACCCUUAACCAAGGUCUUUGACAUCCCUCUGACCCUCCCCUGGGAGACAGGGGCCCUUCCCCCUUCGGGGGGGACAGAGUUGACAGGGUGGUUGGCAUGGGAUUGGUUCGUUCAAGCUCUCGUUGAU
rnacentral:rRNA from 1 species